UGUGCCAAAUAGUUCUUUUCAAAUGAGAAAAUGGUGCCAACACCGAAUCAAUAUUUCAUAAAAGUAAAUUAUGUAGGCAAAAUACAUAAUGGUCAUGAGUUUACCUAUUUCUGUUAAUUCACAGGUAUUGCUCAACAAGGGCGCCAAGUAUGUUGUAGUCCAAGGUCUGCCUACAACAGGGUGCCUCACAUUGUCCAUGUAUUUGUCUCCAGAAGAUGACAGAGAUGAUAUAGGAUGCGUUGGAAGCAUGAACAAGCAAAGCUACAGUCACAACACCAUCUACCAAGCCAAGUUGCAAGAUUUUAGGAAGAAGUUUCCAAAUGCUGUCAUUGUUUAUGCUGAUUAUUGGAAUGCUUACCACACUAUUAUGAAGAAUGCAGGUAAGUAUGGCUUCAAGGAGCUAUAUAAAGUCUGCUGUGGAUCGAGCGGUGGUGAGUAUAACAUCGAUUUGUAUGGAAUAUGUGGCUCACCUGCCUCAAGCUCCUGUGCAAACCCUUCUCAGUACAUCAAUUGGGAUGGAGUCCACCUCACUGAAGGCAUGUACAAGGUGGUUUCUGAAUUGUUUCUUAAUGGAUUGUUCACUCACCCUCCAUUCGAGUACCUGUUAAACAAGAAAAUGCAAUUUGGAUGAAUUGAUUGCAGUCUUGUUCAGCUUCAGUUCUGUGUUUGUUGUCAAUGAGAUCUCAACAAUCGAACUAGUGUUUGGAGCUAUAUGAAGUGACAUAAGAUAUAUGGUGGGGUAAAAGUAAUUUUUUCUUUCUACGCGAAGUGAGAUAAGCGAUAUGGUUUGCUCAUGUAAAGAACAGAGUAUUAAGAUAGAUAAAUUGUCAAGUAAGUCGAAGAAAACAAAAUUAAACAGAAGAGCUAGAUUGGUAAGUUAAUGCUAAUUAGUUUAUCUGGGGUUGGUUUUGUUGUUUGACUGUUUAUUAGAUAAUGGAAAAGGUAUCAUUCAUCAAAGAAAGAUGAGAUUAUUCAAUCUCGUUCAACCAGAAUUAGAACAUUUUACCACCUUGUUAGGGUGUGUAAAGAUUAUCCUUUUGAUAAAAAUAAAAUGACCGAAAAAUUAAAAAUUAACUAACUUAAGUUAUAGAGCUGUAAAGAAAAAUCAUAAUUGAAAAAGAGAAGUCACAACAUCUCCUAGGUAGAGCAUGUAAGUUGUUUCCUUUCAAUUUUCAGCAAAGCUUUGCAGAAUCCACUUGCUACAAUAUCCUAUAAAAGCAGGACCAGAGACCACAGAACUGAAGCAGAAGUUAUGGAGACUUCUGUACUGGUCAUAUGAAACUAGGCAACAUAUACCUAAAAUGACCAGCUUGGAAAGUUUCCUCUACAUUUGAUUUGACUUCAAAAAAUUACAUGCAAAUGCAUUUAUUUGUUAGAAUCAGUUAUCAAUACCUUGCCACGGAGAACAGUCAAAUAUACACAUAAUGCCCUUGUUGAUUCCACAACAGAGCUGGUCCUCGGUUUUGUAAGGUGUAGGGAAAUUUUUUUCAAGUGUGCCCUUUAUACAAAUUAAACAAAAAAAUAAAUAAAUUAUCAACUAAUUAAUUUUAUUAAAAUUAUAAGAAUUUACAAAAGAUAAGGAAGAACACUUUGGGGCCUCAUUAAAAAAUUUGUUUGGGGAAAAUCAAUGGGACAAAACCCCAAACGAAGGGAAAAAAAUACCCUGAAUUGUAAACAUUGCAUUAAAAAACGAAGAACAAGAAUCCCAGCCAAGUUUUCUGUUGAAUCAAAUAAUAAAUAAGAAAAAGUUAACAAAGAUAUAUAUUACAAUUUACAAAAUUUAUAUAUCUAAAUUAUAUAUGUAUCUUUAAAAAAAAAUUACCUUCAAAGAAAGGCAUUGGUCUAGCUGAUGGAUGAUUUAUUUUCCAACUUUGUUGGAAAAGAAGAGAAUCACCGGGAAAAAAAAAUUGCUUGCGUUAUGUUAUGAACUGAGAGGGUCGAAGGGUUUUUUCUUCUUUUUGUGGCUAAGAGUGUCUUUUGAUUUCCCAUAUUUAUUGAUUUGUUUUAUAUUAUAUUUUAUAAUUAAUAUGAGACUUCCUUACUCGGAACGUUUCUUCUUGAGAUUGAGUAUAUAAAGAUUGAUUGGAUUGAUUGGCUUCCCUUUUCAUUAACAGGUACGGGCGACAAUUUCUUUUAUUUUAUUUUAUAUUUUUUUUAUACACAUAUAUACAUCAUUUUAAAAAGAAUUUGGGCCCCCCUCAGCUUUGGGCCCUAGGCUGUAUCACUGGUAGCCCUGGCCCAGGGCCGGCUGUGUUCCACAACAAUAUCAAAUAGGUGGUUUGUAGCGGAAUUGUACGAUCCAUCCCACAUCAAUUCAUCACCAUGCAGCGCACACCUGUGUAAACUGACCCAAUAAGCAUGUUGGACCAUCUCCUUACUUCAAAGGUUAACCUAUUAGGUUAAGGCUCUACCAUACUUAUUAACCCAUCUACACUCUUGAAUUUAUCCAAUGUGAGAUUCAUGUGAAAUAUCCCAGCAUGGUUCACGUAAAAUUUUGAGACACAAAUUGGUCCCAAGUGCUUAAACUAUCAAAUCCGUGACAUUAUGACACAAUGUAGAGCCUGAUGUGGGCUAAUGAGAGCACAUAUGUUACUCAACAAACUAAAAAAGAGACGUGAGAGUUAAGACUUGGUCACCAGCACAGGAGUGUAAGCAGUAAUUACACUGCCAAACCCUAAUCUGAGGUCAACCCUAAAUAGGAUCCUAAUCCUAUUCAGACUUGAGAAAAUAAUAGGUAUAAAACUACUCAGUGCUAACCAAAGAUCGUCUCAUUUCCCAUUAUUUUACUCAAUCAAUCCUUGCAACCCGCUCUACUCUUUCGCUUCCUUAAUGACUUGAUAAUCAAAGGGACUCCCAGGAAUCAACAUGACGGACCUUAGUAUUCCUUCUAUGCCUACAGGUAUCUAGAUUCUCAGAUUGACCUCCAGAAUACUACGAGAAGCUUUUGAGCCCAUCAGUUUGGCACUGUCUGAAGGAACGGCUAACUAAAUUGUCCAAAUACCUAGCUUGCAUUAGACCUAAGAAAGAUCACAACCAACAACCCAUAUAACCAAAACACGAACAGAAACACUUGUGUGGUUCUCAAGACAGAAUGUUCUUGGAAAAAAAAAUAAACAAAUAAAGAUUUUUAAAAAUGCCACAAAAGCCAACUCUUUAGCUAGACCCAUACUUAAAUGAUGAUAAAUGGCUGAUUUGAGGUUCUAAGUGUGGCAAUUGAAGAAAGUCAAGGGUCAAACCCAGUUCUUAUUACAGAGAAUGAACAAAUUAAAAAUCUGUGUCUCCAAAGCAAGGACAUAUUUGUCAUUUCGAGAAAACUCGGGCAUAUAUAACCCAAGCAUUCUGCUAGUCACUUUCAAGUAGAGCAGAAAGCCUUGACAGAAUGCAUUCCUCCUCCAUAUCUUUCUCUCUCCAAAUCACCCUCAUUUCCAUCACCAUCUCCAUCUUUUCUUCUUUUAUUGCUCAUGCUUCUACGACUAAAACUGGUACAAAACCAAGUUCCUUCAAAAAGAUCUAUGCCUUUGGAGACUCCUUCACUGACAUAGGCAACACAAAUUCAUUCACUGGCCCAGGACUCAGGAGCUUUCCAAUAUGUCUCCAACCCUCCAUACGGACGCACACUCUUUCACCACCCUACCAACAGAUACUCUGAUGGACGAUUCGUGAUCGACUUUCUAACUGAAGUACUGUCUUUACCUUAUUUGCCACCUUACUAUCAAACAGAGGCUGAUAAAUCACAUGGUGUGAAUUUUACUGUUGCUGGUUCUACUGCUAUAGAGCACAGUUUCUUUGUAAAGAGCAAUAUUACACUGACCGUCACUUCUCAGUCACUCGAAACUCAGCUAAGUUGGUUUGAACAGGUCUUGGAGAGUCAAGGAUGCAUAAACUCAUCAACAACACCACAACAGUGCAACACAGUGUUUGAUGAAGCCUUAAUCUGGUUUGGUGAAAUUGGAGUUAAUGACUUUGCAUAUACUGUUGGAUCUUUUGUCUCAAGUGAAACCAUUCGACAACUUGCAAUCAAGAGCGUUACUGAAUUUCUGCAGGUAAUUACUACGCUUUAACAGCUAUAUUUGUGUUGAUUAAUUACGUCCUAGAUAAUCAUUUAAGUUACUGGCUUAAACUUGCCUCUUCAAGUUUCUCUAAUUCCUUUGUCCUUAAAAAUUAGUCUUGCAUUUCCUAUUAGAAUGUAAAACGAAUACAAUCAUGAAAAGAUAAAAGAUAAUAUGAAAAUUUCAUAAGUGCUCUUUGUGCAUGCACUUAAUGUAUGUCCCCACAAAAAAAUAGGACAAAAAAGAAAACUAACACAAAUAAACACCGACAAUAAGGGUAAAAAUGUAGAGAAAUGAAAAUAUUACCAUUAUUUCGUUCAUGAGUUUGAAACUAGGUUGGGCUGGUCUGGGAAAGAUCAGAGGAGAGGUAAACUCAUUGCUCAUUGACAGCUUGUGUAGUGAUAUUACAAUUUACUUCACAAGUGCAC
rnacentral:lncRNA from 1 species